AGCCGUUGUGGCGUGUUUGUCAAAUCGUGUGGUUUUGUGUUUGGUGUAACGAAAUGUGACUUAGUUCGCGAACACAGAAGUGCCAGAAGAUAGCUUGUGUCUCUCUGAAACUCGCCAUAUGCGUGGCGUGCCAGGCAAAUGGGGACCAACGAUUUUCAUGCCCUGGAGUGCGUUCUCUUUUGUGUCUGGUUGCGGGAAGUUCGCUGGACGUCGCAAAGAAAUAUUGUGUAUUAUUAGCGUGCCUCAGCUUGUCCACUACGUAACGGCGUGUAGACUGGGAGUCGACGCAGCACCGGCAACUUGGAGAGCGCUUUUCGACCGCGUCGUACCAUUCAAAAGUGGCGAGGCCGUAACCCACACCAGUGUCCACAUAAUGGAGGAGCCAGCAGAAAUGCAGGGAAACCUUGAAUGACUGCCAUAGCGCAGUGUGUAAUCUGAUUGCUUGGUUCAGGUGCACCUAGCAAAUGUAUACAUUGACGAGGAGUGGCACCUGCUCUAGUGCCAUGGCUAGGACUCCCUGUUCUGCAAAGAACUGGCGAAACUGGUGUGCGGAGUUCUGGCACUCAGGAUAGGAGCAUCACAGGGGCUCUUUGGUGGUGCUUCCUGAACGACCGCAAUUUCAUUGAGAAGCCGGCAUUCAGCCUCCAUAAAUUGGAAGCUGUGGACAGUAUCAUCGACAUUGUUUCAAAUUUGUUUGUGUAAUGUUUGUAACAAUACAUGUAUUACAGCGAAAUGAUUAAUUUUCCAGAUGCACUUGAUGCAUAUCUUUCGAGAUGUGGUGCCCCUGAGGAGGAGAAAUCGCGGUGCUCAAAAUGGACCGUAGCCUAGCAGACAUGCUGAGAGAAAUUAAGUAAGCGUGUAAUUGCAAACAUGUGUACAUGCAGUAAACCUCAUUAAUUUGAACUCGUGGGGGCCAUGCGAAAUGUCAGGACUAAGCAAGCGCAACCAAAAUGGUUUAAAAUAUAUAUUUAUGUUUCGGCUUCCCACGGGAGCCUUGUUCACAAUGAAACCAGCAGCAGAGUAGGUAACGUUCUUAUCUGCAGCUCAAAACAUGAUUAAGGUACUUGGCAUACAUGGACAUGGAUGAUUAGAGAUUCAAGAUAAAGACGCGUAAAAUGAUUUCAUUCCUUAACAAUCAAGCGAUAUUUUUCCUAGCUAAUUGUGACGUAGUUGCGCAGUGCUUGGCCAGGGCAUUCGAUGCAAAGUAUCGUUUCUGGACAUCAUUCCUGUGCUGUUUAAGUCUUUUUUUGGAGUUGCCGGUUUCUCCGAUGUAGACGUACCGACAGUUCGCACACCGAAGGACCUACACUACGCCUGGGAACUUGCCCUUUUCCGAACGGUCUUUCACAUGCAUGAGCUCAUGUUUACGUUUUGGAACGUGCACAGCCUGCACAUCAUAUGACCACAACGCAUGCAAGGGUCUCGCUUAUGCAGGGGACCUAUGGUAUUGAAGCCCAUUUUUCGGGGGGUCCAGGGAGGGUGGGUACUGCGCAAGCCAGCUGACACCCUACUGUGUCAAUGGAGUACUCAGGGUAUCCACAAGCCAUCAAUUCCCACUGCACAAGUGAAUUGUCUGCCAUGUGGUCUUCUACUGUUGUGCACACAUUUUUCACCCAACGAAGGAGAGAGCAGACAACAGACCUC